GACGAACGCUGGCGGCGUGCCUAAUACAUGCAAGUUGAGCGCUGACGGUUGGUACUUGUACCAACUGGAUGAGCAGCGAACGGGUGAGUAACGCGUGGGGAAUCUGCCUUUGAGCGGGGGACAACAUUUGGAAACGAAUGCUAAUACCGCAUAAAAACUUUAAACACAAGUUUUAAGUUUGAAAGAUGCAAUUGCAUCACUCAAAGAUGAUCCCGCGUUGUAUUAGCUAGUUGGUGAGGUAAAGGCUCACCAAGGCGAUGAUACAUAGCCGACCUGAGAGGGUGAUCGGCCACAUUGGGACUGGGACACGGCCCAAACUCCUACGGGAGGCAGCAGUAGGGAAUCUUCGGCAAUGGACGAAAGUCUGACCGAGCAACGCCGCGUGAGUGAAGGAGGUUUUCGGAUCGUAAAACUCUGUUGGUAGAGAAGAACGUUGGUGAGAGUGGAAAGCUCAUCAAGUGACGGUAACUACCCAGAAAGGGACGGCUAACUACGUG
rnacentral:rRNA from 1 species